rnacentral:rRNA from 1 species
GUCCAGACUCCUACGGGAGGCAGCAGUGGGGAAUAUUGCACAAUGGGGGGAACCCUGAUGCAGCGACGCCGCGUGGGUGAAGGAGCACCUCGGUGCGUAAAGCCCUAUCGGCAGGGAAGAAACAGACGGUACCUGACUAAGAAGCCCCGGCUAACUACGUGCCAGCAGCCGCGGGAAUACGUAUGGUGCAAGCGUUAUCCGGAUUUACUGGGUGUAAAGGGAGCGCAGGCGGCACGCUAAGCCUGAUGUGAAAACCCGCGGCCCAACCGCGGGAGUGCAUUGGGAACUGGCGAGCUAGAGUACCGGAGGGGCAGGCGGAAUUCCUAGUGUAGCGGUGAAAUGCGUAGAUAUUAGGAGGAACACCAGUGGCGAAGGCGGCCUGCUGGACGGAGACUGACGCUGAGGCUCGAAAGCGUGGGGAGCAAACAGGAUUAGAUACCCGAGUACAU